AGCCGGAGCCUGCCUCGCCUGGCUCCUGCGCCCGCCGUCCAGGGCCCCUGUCCAAGCUCGCGGACGCCGGCGGCGUUUUCCAGCUCGAGUGCUCAGCCUAGGGCAGGCUCUGCGUGCGCCCCCUCGAGUGCCGGCCUGGGCCCUGCCAGGCAGAGGCGCUCUUGCGUCAGGACGGCGCCGCCGGGGCCCCGCGAUUCCAACUCGGGGGUCCCGGAGCGGCGCGGGGCGGGGACGGCCUGGCAGCUCCCAGCAGCGAGGGGCGAUCCCCGCCCGCGCAGCAGACCCCGAGCUGCCCAGGCCCUUCCUGCGCCACGUGUACCCAGAGCUCCGCCCGGGGGAGACUUCGCUGCUUGUUGGAGAUGCCCAGCGGUAGGGGGCGAGGACUCGGGAGGAAGAUAAACGGGGGAUCCCGUGUCUGGACUUUCUCCUCCACCCUCUUCCCUUCGCAGCUGUGAAUCCUGGGAGGGGAAGGGUGGCCGCCCCGCCAGCAGAGAGCUGAAGGUGUUCCGUGGUCAGUGAGGGCUGGCACUGGCUCUGCACGAAGAUCUCCUCACCUCCCCAGCGGCUCCUGGCCAGCUCCCCACGGAGAGCCCAGGACACUUGUCCCUGGACACAGUGGUGCAGCCAUGCUUGGGCCAAACCAUGAGGCCACCAGAACCGCGAAAGGCUACUGUACUGAGAGGGAUACUGCGAGAGAGGCCCACAGGUUUCCAAGCAUCCCUCUCACUCCGCACACUCAUCUCCACGACCGGCUUUAAGUGCGGCCUUGAGGCCUGGCUCCCUGUUUGGACUUCUCUGCACCUCCAGGAGCUCACUUCCCGUCACAGCUGGAUGCCUCCUCCCGCAGGCACCUCCCGGGCAUCCUCCCGCCCCAGGCUGCACCUUCUGUGGGACUGAGCCCCGCAGGCACUUCCCCGGCAUCCUCCCGCCCCAGGCUGCAGCUUCUGUGGGACUGACCUUAAGACCCCAUCGGUUCCUCCUGAGAGCAGCAGAUCUCAGCCAGAUGCUGCCGGGAGGGAGGUGCUAGCGUCCACACCCAGACGGGUCCAGUCCAGCCCUGCUCUCCCUGGUCUCCAGGCAGGGCCCUCCCAGGGUGGACAUUGCCCAUCUCUGCCUGGCCAGGGGCUGCUGACCCACUGGUUCCAGAGUCUGAGCCUGUCCUGCACAAGUACCAUGGACAGGGGUCAGCCGGGCACUGAAGAGGCGUGGCAGAAUUGGGCAGGGCAAGGGCCCCAGCUGGCAAGCUGGAGUCAGGGCAAUUCCAACCAAGAAACUGCGGCAGGCCGGGUGCAGUGUCUCAAGCCUAUAAUCCCAGCACUUUGGGAGGCAGUGGGAGAAUCGCUUGAGCCCGGGAGUUUGAGACCAGCAUUGGUAACAUAGAGACCCUAUCGCUACAAGAAAAAAAAAAAAAAAAA
rnacentral:lncRNA from 1 species